rnacentral:lncRNA from 1 species
UCUAAUUUUGGAUUUUUUGGGAUUUUUGAUUUUCCACGUCAAAUUUAGCUAAUAAACCAAUAUUCAAAACGCUACCGUUUCGUCUGAAGAUGCCGUGUGCAAAGUUUGGUGUCGAUUGGUCAAAAAAUGUGGGAGGAGUAGGGAAAAAGCAUUUUUGCGGUUUUCGCGAUUUUGCGAAAAAAAAUUAUAGACGCAAAUGGGCGUGGCCUAUGCCAAAAGAUGCAGCAGACUCCAGUGAAUCUGUGCGUACAAGUUUUAGAAUGUGGGAGAUUCGGUGUGGGAGUUAUAGCCCCAAACGCGUCUGUCCUUGGUAUAGCGCCACCUAGUGGCCGGCGCGUCUGGAUUUGGUUAUCUGAGUAGCGGUGCCGGACCUGGAUCUAGUCAUGCAAUUGGCGCGUGUGCACCAUUUACGGUUUGGGCUGUAGUCCCACAAGUACGGGGGGAAGAAUAAUAAUAAUAAUAAUAAUAAUAAUAAUAAUAAUAGGAAAAAUCCUUACAAAAACAAUAGGGAUCCAACCUGUUGGCUUGGACCCCUAAAAAAAUCCUUACAAAAACAAUAGGGAUCCAACCUGUUGGCUUGGACCCCUAAUAAUAGGAAUAACUAGAACUGCAAGCAGUUAUGCAGGGGUCCAAGAAGUGUGCAUUUCGCCGGCACAACGCGACAAGAAAUGGGCAUUUCGCCGGCACAACGCGAAGCAAGUAUUCAAAACGCUACCGUGAACAACAUGUGGAUAUAAAGGUUUUGACUGUGGGAGCUUCGGUGUGGGAGUUAUAGCCUAAAAUUCGUUUUCAGAACAUUCCAUUGGCCAAAUAGGAGAUAGACAAUGUCGUCGUUUUUUGGCGCCGCCCUGUGGCGACAUUUUCCAAAGACAAUUUUCCUUUGCCAAAUAACUCCCGCCCACAUUAAUAAUUCUUGGCCAUAUUUUCUAUAUAGACUCGGGUUUGCCCCUUGAUGGUUUCCCUUAAGUUUGAAGAACAUUCCUUUGGCCAAUUAGAAGAUAUACAAUUUCCUCGUUUAUAG